rnacentral:sRNA from 1 species
AAUUCACAUAAGACGACAUUCUCA